rnacentral:rRNA from 1 species
UACGGAGGGUGCAAGCGUUAUCCGGAUUCACUGGGUUUAAAGGGUGCGUAGGCGGGCAGGUAAGUCAGUGGUGAAAUCUUCGAGCUUAACUCGGAAACUGCCUUUGAUACUAUCUAUCUUGAAUAUUGUGGAGGUAAGCGGAAUAUGUCAUGUAGCGGUGAAAUGCUUAGAUAUGACAUAGAACACCUAUUGCGAAGGCAGCUUACUACGCAUAUAUUGACGCUGAGGCACGAAAGCGUGGGGAUCAAACAGG